CCGUAUGUCAAAGUUCCUGCAUCCCGGUUGGACGCGCCCUCCCAACCCUCCCAGCCCUGCCGGCUGCUGGCUCUGCAGUUUUCCAAAUGUGGAUGAUGCUAGGAGCCAAGAGAAAACUCCAGGCACCCCUUCUGGAGCCACGCGGCACCAGCACCCACAGCACCCACCUCACCAGAGGGCACACCCCCACCACUGCCGAUAAGUUUUCAGGGGCUUUCCUAGCUGGUGGGCAGCUACAGCAGCCAGCUGAGAGGGACUCACCAGGGAGCCCUGGGCGCCCCUCGGGCUGGGCUGGUGACCGCGGCAGCAGUGGCAGCGGGCGCAGGGUCGCGGCUCCCCGGGAGAUGCUGCAGCAGCGGCAGCGGUAGCCACCUCCUCCCGGAGCCAAUCGCAAAUGCAGGGGUGGGGGCGGGCCGGAGCUCCCGUUGCGUCCGCACUUGUGGGGGGGGCAGAGAGAGAAAGAAGACACCAGCACCCCGACUCCGCACCCCUGCCCUUCCCCCAGCUCUCCUGCAGCAGCGCAGACUUAGCAGCAGGGAAAUCUUGAGAGAGAAGGAGGAAGAGGGAGAGGGGAAGGGAGGGGAGGGGAGGGAGGAGAGAGAGAGAGAGAGAGAGAGAGAGAGAGAGAGAGAGAGAGAGAGAGAGCUGAUGCAGAGUUAAGGAGGCAAAGCCCAGCCGCACACCUUGCCCGGCCAAAGCUGCAGGAAGCUCCUGCACCCUCAGCCCUGUCGGCACCAGGUAGAGGUCAGAGCAGAACAAAAGGGAAAAAGAGAAAAGCCCCGCGGAUGUAGGGUUGGGUCAAGGGACAGCAGAGUCACCAGUUUUCCUGAGGGUCCCAAGCCAACUCCAGGUAAUGAGAAUUGCAGGUCACCUUGAGCAGCAGACAAGGCCAACUCACUUGUCACUCCCACCCCCUCAGACCCUGACAUCAAGAGUGUGUGGCUAGAAGACUCUGUAUCCACCAUGCUUCAUAGGAUUUAGAACACACGUACAUCCGAGAGCACCUUUGAGGUUUAACUGAAGCAGAAAGACCCGUCAUCCUGUGGGCUUAAGUCCCAUGUGCUGAAUGAAAAGGAGAAAGCAAAGCUGAGGAGCACACUCGCUCACCCCUUCUUCCUGUGUCUCCACUCGGAUGCAGAAUGAUCAUCCCCUUCAUGUUCUACCACUGUGAUCCUCACCACGAUGAACUGCAUCCUCAAACUAUGAGCCAACACAAGCCCUUCCUUAAAUUACUUCUUUCGGGAGAUACUCUCCUGAGGUGCAGAACAACAAAAGCAGCCACCUGGAUCCUGCUGAGGCCUAAGCUCAAUAGGCUGGAGGACACAGACUCCCUGCCUGGGAUUACCUCUCUAUUCCCCCUCCAUCCUGGCUCCUUAGCCACAGCAACGGCCUCAGCUUUGGGGCACUUUUCCACCACUGGCUUCACUGGUAACUCCCAGCCACCUGCAGCUCAGGAGUUACUUCUUCAUCGCUGUGCAUCUGCCCAUCGUGCCAAGUCCCUGCUGAGCCCCUGCCGAAUCCCCAUGGCCUUCAGCCGUCAUGAUCCAGACUGCCCUCCAUUCGGCCCUUGCCCUUUACAGACUACUCCCAGGCAGACCCACAAGUUCCUGUCUUCCCAAAAUGUCUUCCCAGUUCUACCUCCAGGUCUUGACACAGUCUGGGUGUAUUUGCGGGCUCCCUCCUCAACUCAUCCAGAAAAGCCUGGUACCUCUCUGGGAAGCUCUCCAUGUGCCUACUAUACUGUGAGGGACCAGGGAACCAUGGUGAUGGGGAGAAGGGAAGGAGGUCUCAGCAUGCCCUCUGGGGUAAAACAUGGGGGAACGGGACAGAGGAGAAAUGGGAGGCCGGCUGGGAAAAUUAAGACCUGUCGAUGUAGCACGAAUCUUAAAUAGUCUUAUUAAUGAAAAUAAACCUGGAAUAAGGUAUUGGGGUGACCGCUGAAUGAUCAGAGAAACAGAACAAGCCACAGCUUCCUCACUUCGCCAUUUCCUCAGCUGAUCCUGUUUCCUCAGACUGGAAGCCUGUGAGUCCUCACCUGAAUGGAUCUCAGCUGAACUGA